GUUUGUCUCAAUCAUUUUACAUAAUGUUGAACAAUUCAUUGUGCAAAACGUUCUCAAAAACAUUACAUUUGUAGAUAGUAGGUACUUGUCAGUUUCAUGUAUACCAUGACUAUAUUUAUAUGUAUGUGUAAGUAAACAACUUUACUUGAAAUGUCAUCACAAUUAGUUCAUCAUCCAGACGUUUUAUGGAGAAUUUCACAGGCUUUAGCAUUUAACUCACAUUUGUUUACAUCCCUGUGCAAUAUAAUGAUAUAUUUGUCUUAUUUUCUAUUUAUAAAAAUUCCAUUGAAAUUUAGACUAAAACAUGUAAUUAGGGGUGAAAUGUUUCCUCUUCAAAAUGAGCUUGAAGACAUCCAUUUAAUUUAAAUCUAAGUCUACUGUAUAGACGCUGUCUUUCUGCUUUUAACACUCACCAAAGCUGAAAAUCUUAUUUUAUUCUUUAUUCUGAAUUACUCUGGGCAAGAAAGUUGCCAUUGUAAGAUGAUACACGCUGUGUGUGUACUGUUUAGUGCUUUUAUGAUACAUUCUACCUUUACAUCAGUCUGUUUGUCCCACCUGUCAGUCUCUUUACGUCAGUGUUUCCUUGAGCAGGAGGUGUGGGGGUACCGGCCUUGCAUGUGGAAGAUGAUCCUGGUGGGCGUAGGUGUUGUGUCCUCUGGUGGUCUCCUCCUGCUGCUGCUCUAUUGGCUGCCUGAGUGGGGUGUCAAGGGCACAUGCACACACACCUCGCUGAGGGAUGCACACACACUGCUGCUCAGGACCACAAAUGAGUUCAGGCAGUGGUUUCGAGCUAAAGUCCAUGUGAUGCUGGCUCCAGGGAAGAAGCCCUUCGACAGUUUGGAUCUGCAGCCCACAGCUCAGCUGCCCAAUGGAGACCACAGCGUCGGUGCUGCACCAGAGCAUCAUGGGACAUUUUCUCAAAACCUGCCGGCUCAGAUUCACUACUUCAGCCACCACAGCUCUACUUACUAUUGGAAUGACGAGGCAAAGGCUUUUGAGACGUAUAAAGGCUUGGAGGAUGUGAAAGUGAGUUGUUCGGGCAUCUACUCUGACCACAGCUCUGGACUUUGUGAAAGAGAGCAGGACUACAGGAGGUUGUUUUUUGGGGAGAAUGAGAUCGCUGUAAGAGUUCCUUCUUUGUUCAAACUCCUCAUAAAAGAGGUUUUGAAUCCUUUCUACAUCUUCCAGCUCUUCAGUGUUAUUCUGUGGAGCGCUGAGGACUACUAUUAUUAUGCCACAGCCAUUGUUUUUAUGUCUGCUAUUUCAAUAGCUACCUCACUGUAUACCAUCAAAAAGCAAUAUGUGAUGCUCCAUGACAUGGUGGCAGCACACAGUGUGGUCCGCGUUACACUGUGCAAAGGAAAUAAAGACGUUUUGGAGGCCAUGUCGACAGAUCUUGUGCCUGGUGAUGUCGUCGUCAUUCCAACAAAUGGCAUGAUUAUGCCCUGUGACGCCGUGCUCAUCCAUGGAACCUGCAUUGUGAACGAGAGCAUGCUGACAGGAGAGAGUGUGCCAGUAACCAAGACCAGUCUGCCCAGCUCAGGUGAGGAUUCAGCCAGGAGCUACGACAUGGAGGAGCACAAGAGACACACUCUCUUCUGUGGCACCCAUGUUAUCCAGACCCGCUUCUACACUGGUGAACUGGUGAAGGCUGUUGUGGUCAGAACAGGCUUCAGCACAGAGAAAGGCCAGCUGGUGCGCUCCAUCCUCUACCCUAAACCCACGGACUUCAAGCUGUACCGUGACGCGUACCUGUUCCUGCUGUGUCUGGUGGGAGUGGCAGGGAUCGGCUUCAUCUACACCAUCGUCCUCAGUGUGAUGAAUCAGGUUCCGGCGAAAACGAUCAUCAUUGAGUCUCUGGACAUCAUCACCAUCACUGUGCCGCCGGCCUUACCAGCAGCCAUGACGGCUGGGAUUGUGUACGCGCAGAGGCGUCUGAAGCGAGUCGGCAUCUUUUGCAUCAGCCCCCAGAGGAUCAACAUGUGUGGUCAACUUAACCUGGUUUGCUUUGACAAGACUGGUACUUUGACUGAGGAUGGUUUGGACCUGUGGGGGAUUCAAAGAGCUGAAGACUGCAGCUUUUCUCCUCCAGAGUCUGAAGCAGCCAAGGAGAGUCUGGUGAACUCUACAUUUGUGGCCUGCAUGGCAACCUGCCACUCACUGACCAAGAUAGAGGGCAAACUCUGCGGAGAUCCUUUAGACCUGAAGAUGUUUAAUGCCACAGGCUGGGUCCUAGAAGAGCCCAUAGAGGAGGAGACAGCGCUCCACAAUCCCAUAAUGCCCACGGUCGUACGACCUCCAAAGCACGUCAUCCCUGAAGCCGAUCAGAGCAAUCCCUCUGCUCAGAACAUGCCCUUUGAGAUUGGCAUUGUGCGUCAGUUCCCCUUCUCCUCAACACUGCAGAGGAUGAGCGUUGUUGUGAGGAAGUUGGCAGAAAAACACAUGGAUGCUUAUUUGAAAGGAGCUCCAGAGAUCGUGGCCAGCCUCUGCAAACAGCAAACAGUCCCACAGAGUUUCACAGAGACUCUGGAGAUCUACACCAGGCAGGGUUUCCGUGUUAUUGCCCUGGCACAUCGUCAGCUGGAGUCCAAACUCUCCUGGCACAAAGUUCAGAGCCUCAGCAGGGACCUGAUAGAAACCAACAUGGAAUUCCUCGGUUUGAUCAUCAUGCAGAACAAAAUCAAGGAGGAGACGGCCGGGGUUUUACGUGAAUUGCGACAGGCUAACAUUCGCACUCUGAUGGUCACAGGUGACAACAUGCUGACAGCCAUAUCAGUAGCUCGGAGCUGUGGCAUGGUCCGUGCACAUGAGAGGGUCAUUAUAGCAGACGCUGUGCCACCUAAAGAUUUCCAGCCCGCGAGUAUCACGUGGCAUUACACCGAAAAUCCUGCUCAAAUCACCAAGGACACUCAGUGUGUGGAGAUAGACCUGGAGAAGGAGGAGGUUUAUGACGAUGAACACACUCCGCAGGAUCAUAACUAUCACUUUGCUUUAAGUGGUAAAACCUUCGCUGUUAUCAUUGAGCACUUCCCUCAGCUCAUCCAAAAGCUCGUGCUGAGAGCCACUGUGUUGGCCAGAAUGGCUCCAGACCAGAAGACCCAGCUUGUGGAAGUCCUGCAGAGCAUCGACUACACUGUUGGGAUGUGUGGUGAUGGUGCAAAUGACUGUGGAGCUCUGAAGAGUGCUCACAGUGGGAUUUCUCUGUCCGAGCUGGAGGCUUCUGUAGCCUCGCCUUUCACCUCCUCCACGUCAAACAUCUCCUGUGUCCCCAACCUCAUCAGGGAGGGUCGAGCUGCCCUCAUAACAUCCUUCUGCGUGUUCAAGUUCAUGGCUCUCUACAGCAUCAUCCAGUACCUCAGCGUCACCCUGCUCUACUCUAUCCUCAGCAACUUAGGAGACUUCCAGUUCCUCUUCAUUGACAUUGCCAUCAUUCUCAUCAUUGCCUUUACAAUGAGUCUGAACCCCGCGUGGAAGGAGCUGGUGUGGCGUCGCCCGCCGUCCAGCCUGAUUUCCGGCCCGCUGCUCUUCUCGGUUCUGACCCAGAUCAUCGCCUGCCUUUUCUUCCAAGUCCUGGCUUUCCUCCUGGUGAGACAGCAGAAGUGGUAUGAGAUAUGGACGCCACAGUCAGAUGCCUGUAAUGUUUCCAGAUCCAGUUUCUCCCACAUCCAGAAUGUAACAACUGCUCACGACGUGAAAAACAUCAGGAACUACGAGAACACCACCCUCUUCUAUGUCUCCUCUUUCCAGUACCUGGCUGUGGCCAUCAUCUUCUCCAAGGGGAAACCAUUCAGACAACCAAGCUACAAGAACUGUUUGUUUCGUAAGGGCCGUUCUUACUUUCCUGCAUUGGUCUGUACACGUUUCUGCUGCUCAUCAUGCUGUAUCCUGUUCCUGCCAUCGACAGCUUCCUGGAGAUCGUGUGUGUUCCCCACGACUGGCGCAUUACGCUGCUGGUUAUUGUCAUAGUGAAUGCGGCUGUGUCUUUCAUGCUGGAGAUUUUCAUCCUUGACAUCAUCCUGUGGAGGCUAGUUUUCAGAGGCAAUAAUGGGGUAAAUCAACCCACAGAGUCCCCCUCGUCUACCACACCUCAGAUGGGGAAUGAACACUGGAGCUCGUCCUUCCUCUCCUGGUUGUUCCGUCGGCGAAGCAAGCCACCGAGGGUGCGUUACAUGCAGGUGGCCCUGGAGCUGCAGGGCGACUUGGACUGGCCCCCCCCACCGUCCACCGUCACCUACGCCGGCGAAUCACAGUGCCACGUGUCCGCCGACCUCUGACACCAACGUGACCAACUAGCAAAUUACUGCACAGACUGAACCUAAAGCCCUGCGCAAGGUAACAUUCGUUAACAGGAGUCCAAAUCAAAGAUGUGACGAAAAGUCAGAUGGAUGGCAACAAACGAACCUUCAUAAAGAACAAGUCUCUGACUGUAACACUGUGAGCUGCUCAUAUAUACAAUUAUCUUCAAACUCCCUGAUUUGGAUUUUAUUUGUACUUGUCAUAAUAGUGUUUUGCUUUCUGACAGAGAGUUGGUUUAGAAAAUGAAUACCACUGUCAUGUUUGUGUUGUAAAUAUGCUGGUAUGACAAUAGGUGGUUGGUACAAACGGUGCAACCAUCGAGGAUUAGUGAACAAAACGGUGGAAACAAUACAGACUCUAAAAAAGAAAGCGUAUUUUCUUGCUCUGCAUUCCAAACAACUCCUCUCCAGUUCUAAAUUAUCUCAAACCACUAAGAUAUUGUUGUACAGCUUUAUUUAGAGUAUUGGCUUAAUAACUUCUCUGACUGACCACUGUCACUCUCCACAUACAUAACACUAGUGAUCUAAACCUAACACCCUUAUACAAACUUUUAAAAAAUACUGAUGUACUACAGGAGUGUGUGGAGUUUGCAUGCUCUCCCAGUGUGUGUGCGUGGGUUUUCUCUGACUUACUCCCACAGUCAAAAACAUGCAACUGACCACUUUAAAUUGACCAUAGGUGUGAAUGUAAGAGUGAAUGUUUUUUUCUCUGUUUGUAUGUUGGCCCUGCAGUCGACCGGCUACUCGUCCAGGGUGUACUCUUCCUUUCACCCUAUGUAAGCUGGGAUUGGCUCCAGCCCCCGCGAGGAUAAAGCGGUAGAAAAUGAAUGAAUGAAUGAAUGAUUUACUUUAAUCCCUCAUGUAUCUGCUUAUAGCAUGGAGAGCACAUUUUUCAGAUUCAUACGUGGAUGCUGCAUUUGCAUUCAGGCAUGAGAGUGGUAUUAAUCUUCUCCGUACAUUUCACAAAAUGUACAACUAUUAUUUGACUGUGAGUUUUCAGCAUCUGAUCCAGCAUCCACACGCAGAAUAAUCUACGGAUACAAAUAAAUAAGUUCUUUCAUGUACAACUGCUGCUAAGUGAAGUGAAUAAAAGCUGUGAAGCAGUAUACGACCGCACAGAAACACAAGGACUCAGUUUACAGUUUAAUGAAUAUAAACUGGUUGUUAUAUUUCUAUAACAGAUGCAUUUCACUGUUGCAUUUCAUUCUACCUGCAUACGUUAAAAUUCUUCCUGUGGAAGAGAGAAGCAGAUACUUGUGACCCAAUUUAAAGUUCUAAUGAAAGAGUGUGUGUGUGUGCGUGUGUGCCAGUGACAGAGAAAGUGUCAGUUCACAAUGAGAAUCGCAAUGAACCAUGACAGUAUGCAUUAUGAAAUAUCAUUUAACUCAAUAUCAAGGUUUUUUUCCAAAAGUAAUUUUGUCCGUUUUACUCAAUUAUACAGUUUAACGUUUCUGAGGUACUGUAGAUCUAAUCAGAUCUGACAUUUUGAUUAAUUAAUGCAAGCAAAUUAAUUGAAAUUAACCUUUGAUGCAUUUGCUGCGGAGACAAUUCCGUAACAGUCGAUUUUUUAUUAGCCUCUUUUUAAUGCCGUGUUUGUAUGUAACCGUUUACAGGUGUGUUUCCACAUGUGAAGAAUGAAAUAAAUGUGAAAAUCUAAAACCUUGAAAA